rnacentral:piRNA from 1 species
UAAGAUGAGAUUAAACCAUAUCAGAAGCCA